GUACAGAAUAGGUGUGCUGCCCCAAGUUUGAGCGAACCGGAACAGAGAACAGGAACAGAUAGGGAUACAGGGCUCCGGCGGUUGACCUCGCCGUGUGCUGAGCUGCGACCUCACCGGCUGCUGCGCUGCGACCUCGCCGUGGUCCGGCGUACAACGGAGAGGCCGCCCCAUCCUCGCAACUCCAUUCUCCUCCUCCGUGCCACCCCGUCACCACACCCGGUACCUACCUCCGCCAUCCGACGGCGGCUAGAUCCGCCAUCCGCCGACGCCGGAGAAGAGAACUCCAACCUUCAGGUGCACUGCUGCGUCGAGCAGGGAAUGAUGGAGUCAAUGACUAGUAUUGCUCCAAGUGUCGGGUCAACUACAACGAUGGGACUAUAAGAUGAUGCUAACAAUUUUUCCAUGAGCAAGUAGCGUCCAAGAAGGUUCAACAUCAGCAUAUUGUUCUACUUAACGAGGCGAACAUGAUAGGGGUAUAUAUAUACUAGAACAUCACGUACUUCUGUUGUACGACCGCUCGUGAAGGCGGAGUGCGUGCGGCUGGAGGGGAUUGCUGUGGAGGUGACUUUUUUUACAUAGGGAGAGAGCACCCAGCUCAUCCUCCGGAGCAGUGGCCCGGGCACGUUGGGCCAACGACGAUGCGCGGGGAAACUGGUUAAAACGACCAUGGUGCGUGCGGCGGGACGAUCAAUUAAUCUGAUGCGUUCAUACGUGAGAUCCCAUGGUUGACAACGUCAAAUCGCUGUGGAUGGCUGUAGCUAGCUCCGUUUUACUGUAUUGUAAUUGCUCCUCAUAGAUUAAAACAUGUUGAGUAUGUUUGCAAACCUUUGACUUUUACUUGUUUAUUAUUUUCCAGCACAGCCCACCCAUGGGAGCGGACACUUUUACUUUGCGUUAAAUAAUGGAUGAAAGAUGUGUUCGUUAAUGUGAUAUAUGGACCUAGUUCAAGUACACCAUGCUGAAUUUGUUGGCGCAAUAUAUGUGUAUCUACUAAUCUUCUAUA